rnacentral:rRNA from 1 species
UACGUAGGGGGCAAGCGUUAUCCGGAUUUACUGGGUGUAAAGGGAGCGUAGGUGGCAGGACAAGUCAGAAGUGAAAGCCCGGGGCUUAACCGCGGGACUGCUUUUGAAACUGCCCGGCUGGAGUGCAGGAGAGGUAAGCGGAAUUCCUAGUGUAGCGGUGAAAUGCGUAGAUAUUAGGAGGAACACCAGUGGCGAAGGCGGCUUACUGGACUGUAACUGACACUGAGGCUCGAAAGCGUGGGGAGCAA